AGAGAGACAGACUGGCUUCCUGCUCCUCUGUCUCCCAGUUCUUCCCCCUGAACAGGAACCCCAGCUGGAUCCCCAUCCCUGGACCCGCAGGGGCGCAGGUGGGACGGCCCAUGAGAGGGGCUGCAGGACGGUGACCCAGGGCUGGGGGCGUGCGCGGAGUCAGCCAGGCAGGGUGGAGAGAAUGGAUGGGGACACGUUGCGAGCCCAAACCCUCCCGGCCAGUGGCCUCCCUAACCCCGCAGGGGCCGAGUUCUCCUCUCCCGCCCCGUGGCCUGCCAGCUCCCUGCCACGCCUCUUCCUCUUGGUUUGGGGGUUUCUCUCCUAGCCCUGUGCCCACGCUCUUCCUUUCCAGGAUCUGGCCCCUCCAGGGACCGCUCCCCACUCUGUCGUGCCCCAAGCUAAGGCAGGAUCUGCUCCCGGGCUCAACCCUCACCGUCGCGGCUGCGCUCUGCGGUGGGGAGCGACCCCAGCUCCUGCCCGCCCCAGAGGCCAUGGCUGGCGUCGGUUGCCUUAGCGACGCCGAGGACGCAAAGGUCUCUUCCCACGCAUGCGUGGAGCCUCCCCUCCCCCUCCUCCCGCCCCGUGCUCCUGGGUGCUCCAUCUCCCUAUUCCCUCCUCUUACCUCCAUCGCGGACCUGGGGUCCCCAGGAGCCCUACCCCGCCACCAGGAGGCCCAUCUCCUCCCGGGGAUGUCCCCCUCCCGCCGCGCUGCUCCGGGCUUCCCUCCCUGAAUCUUGCCAGUCCCCAGAACUGGGGCUGGGUUGGUGCGGGGGAGGGAGGCGUGUCAUGUUUGUUGAGUGAAUAAGCCAGUGGCUGGGGAGGCUUGGUUUUCGGGUCCCAGAGCCGGAUUGACUCAGCUGAUGAGUUCAAGAGAAACAGAGACUUUUGUAGGAGGAGGCUGGGGGUCAGCAGAGGAUAUGCUCCCUGUCACUCUAUCAGAGAGAGGGGCUUCCUGCCAGCAAAGAGUGGUUUUUGGAGCAGACCAAGGAAGGAAACAUCGCCAGAAUUCACGGAAUUGGCUGGGGGCUCUGGCUGGAAACACGUGGCCAGCUUCUGGCCUCUCUCCUUGCAGCUGUUUGCCCCCUGUUUCCUGGCCAAGGUAGAAAGAGAACCACCCACUUUGCUCAUCGCCAACCAACCUUGACCAAGGAAGCAUCUGCAUGUGCAAGGUGCCAUCUGAAUGCUGGAGACAUAAGCAGUGUGGUCACUGGUCCCAGCAUUGUUGGGAAGUGAAAAUGUAUCCAUGAAAAGAGAGCAGAAAGUGCUCCGUGGGAUCUCCUUCCAAAGAAACGACUGCUCCCCAAGCCUUGUGUCACAGGUGGCUUUUGUAGGAAUCCCAACGAAGACAUCAGCUUCCUGCUCACUCCGCAUCUGCCUCCCGGCCACUGAAAACACCUGGAAAAGGGACUUAAGUAGCUCUGUGAUACGUUUGCAUUCAGAGAUGUGCAAUACUGAAAUAGACAUUGAAGAGAAUGGGUUUGGGUGUACAGUGGUCCAUAGAUUCAACUGAGGGUAGACUGAAGGCAGGGAGCCCAGCAAAGAGGCUGCCACCCUUGUCCCUCUGAGGAAGGCUGCAGCAGGCUAGAGGUACUGUAGGAAACAGGAAGAGGUGAUCAUUCCAGAACCUCAGAAGUAAAA